rnacentral:lncRNA from 1 species
UUGCUUCGAAACUGAUAGCAGAGGGGUACGAAAGAACUAAGAAGAUGAAAUUAGUAUUGGUAGAUGCUUAGUGCAAGUGACAGAUAGAUAAAAAUAGUUACCAAUUUCGUAAGUUCACUCAGUCGAAGCAUAAAACCUUGGGAAAAGCCAUAGUUAUCGUAACAUAAUGAUGUUUACUGUGGACUUAUUGGGCAACUUUCCUUGUUUGGUUUUUGUUACUUAUGUUUCCUUUCAUCUCCCUUGGACAAGGUUUGCCAACCAGGCAUAUGGGUCCCUGAUCAGAUAUUGAUUAGUACAGGUUUACUGACACACGAUACACAGUAUGUACCAAAGACUCGAAGAGGAGGAAGAAGGAGAAGAGGAAGGAACAGAUGUCAGUGGAAGAGGAGAAAAAAGGAGGAAGGAGGAGGAAAAAAGAAGAGGAGGUGGUAAAGGAAGAGGAGGAGGAAGAGGAAGGAAGAAGAGGCGAUGGUGAAGAAAUAGGAGGAGGCAGUGGAGGAAGAGGAGAAAGUUGGAGGAAGAGAAAGUAAAAAGAGAAUGGGUGGAGGAAAAGAGGAGGUGGAGGAAGCAUGCACAAAAUCGACUGUGGGUGGCUAUGGGUGGCAUCAGGUAGAGCUCAUGGGCUCAUAUAUGGCAAAGGGGGCUCCCAAACCAUGAAAUAAUUUCUUUUUCUUUCUUUUAAUGGGUCAACCGGGCUGCCCGAAAUGGGGGUGGUCCACAUACUGGUUCAUGCCUGGAGCCGUAUGUACAUACUGCCCAUUUGAUACUGGUCCAGGCAAAACAGCAGUCUAUGCUUUUGGUUUUCUUUUAGGCCUCUUACAGAUCGGCAUCAAUUUGUACAAAUUAUGAUACAUCAGAGACCUGACUCUUUCAC